UCUCAGGCUGUGACCCUCUAGAGGGAAGCGCUUUCUGUGGUCUGAAAGAAAAGAAAGUGCUUCCUUUUAGAGGGUUACUGUUUGAGA
rnacentral:pre_miRNA from 1 species